AGUGAACGCUGGCGGUAGGCCUAACACAUGCAAGUCGAACGGCAGCACAGUAAGAGCUUGCUCUUACGGGUGGCGAGUGGCGGACGGGUGAGGAAUACAUCGGAAUCUAUUUUUUCGUGGGGAUAACGUAGGGAAACUUACGCUAAUACCGCAUACGACCUACGGGUGAAAGCAGGGGAUCUUCGGACCUUGCGCGAUUGAAUGAGCCGAUGUCGGAUUAGCUAGUUGGCGGGGUAAAGGCCCACCAAGGCGACGAUCCGUAGCUGGUCUGAGAGGAUGAUCAGCCACACUGGAACUGAGACACGGUCCAGACUCCUACGGGAGGCAGCAGUGGGGAAUAUUGGACAAUGGGCGCAAGCCUGAUCCAGCCAUACCGCGUGGGUGAAGAAGGCCUUCGGGUUGUAAAGCCCUUUUGUUGGGAAAGAAAAGCAGCAGGUUAAUACCCCGCUGUUCUGACGGUACCCAAAGAAUAAACACCGGCUAACUUCGU
rnacentral:rRNA from 1 species